UACGAAGGGGGCUAGCGUUGUUCGGAAUCACUGGGCGUAAAGCGCACGUAGGCGGAUUGUUAAGUCGGGGGUGAAAUCCUGAGGCUCAACCUCAGAACUGCCUUCGAUACUGGCAAUCUCGAGUCCGGAAGAGGUUGGUGGAACAGCUAGUGUAGAGGUGAAAUUCGUAGAUAUUCGGAAGAACACCAGUGGCGAAGGCGGCUCACUGGUCCGGUACUGACGCUGAGGUGCGAAAGCGUGGGGAGCAAACAGG
rnacentral:rRNA from 1 species